rnacentral:misc_RNA from 1 species
UCGGUAUUUAUUGCAGAAGAAAAUUUUCGAGUGACGUUUGUAGUUUAGGAAAACUAGGUUAUUAUGGGAAUGAAGAUCUAGCUUUUGCUCUAAUAUUAUUUGUAAUGUUCAUAUUUUAUUUUUAAAAUGCAGUUCACUGCAUAAUAUUUGUGGAAAUCGAAUUAAGAGAUUCAAAUACACUAUAGUGAUUUAAAGAUAAAAUAAGGAGUAUGUGGUCAAACCCUCGUCCCCCAUCUAGAACUUCAUCUGGUGAUAACUACAACUCAGCAGCUAACCCAUAUUCUCGCAUCGCUACCGUUCCAAAACCUAAGCCAGGGCGGCAGAGUACUGAUCCUUGGGAUUGGGGAUGGGAAGAAAACUCUGCUCAACAAGAUGAAUGGGGUAAUGGUUGGAAUCAAGCUCCAAUUCCUGUACCAAAUGUAAUUCCUAAUCCUCCCCCGUCCCUUUACCAUCAAAGUAAACCAGAAAACAAGGCACGUGGAACACCUGACCUUAUUCCAGAAAAGGUUAACAAUGGUAGCAGCAGAGGAGGUGUGGUACAAUUUGGGCAACAGCAUUAUAACCAAACUUCCAAUGCAUCAGAUUUUUUUGAAAACAUAAAUUUGGUCGGUCAGAACCAUCAAUCAUCUCCCAUAUACCCUCCCAAUGAGGUCAGAAGGCUUCCACAACCAAAUAUUCCACAAAAUUAUCAUAUGUACCAACAACUGCCUCCUCAAAAUGCUAUAAACAGAUGUCCGACUCCAGCUUCCUACUUUCACCAGCCACCCCCACCCCACUCCGAGCCGGUGUCGUACUUUCAACAACCUCCUCCAUCACUUACUCCAAAUUUGUAUCAAAACUCUCAAUACUAUCAGCCUGAACUGAAUAACCAAUUGUCUGCUCAAAAACAAAGUGGGAACUAUUUUGAUCACAACCAGUUCACAAGUCAGGAACAUUACAAUUAUUAUGAACAAAAUGCUUACUUAAAUAAUACACCAAUUCAGGCACCUACGAGUGGUGAGCCUGCCUAUAAUCCUACCCCAAAUAAUGUAAACACAAUAGAAGUUGAGAAUGUGGAAGUUGCUCCUCCAGAACGAGCUGCUGCACCUGUUAGUCAACCGGAACCCUCACAGGAACCUGAGACGCAAAAAUCUCAAGAAGUAAACCAAGCCAACAAUCAGGGAGCAGUGGAUGAAACAAGCAUUCCUGAUAAUCAAGAAACAGUUCCAGAUAAUGAAGAACAUUUACAAAAUCUGCCUCAUAAACUGAGCCAAAUGAAAAUUACUUCAGGAAACAGUCUUGAGAUGUGGAACAGUUCUCCCGGGUGGGAGAACCAAGAGGUGGCACCACGCUGCGAGUUGGACAGAAAUCAGUAUCUGGAGACAGGGCAGCUGGUUGAUUCCAAUGAAACAGAAGAAGUACCUCCUGAAACUGAUAAUAAUGAUGAAGGGGAACCGUUGCCACCUCCAGGUUUACACAGAUUGGUAACGGGUCAAGGAACGGAAUCGAUAUCUCAGAGAUCCGUCUUAGGUCAACCACCAAGCACACCUCAGAAUAAUAGUGGAUUUGUUCGUCUAGUACCAGGUCAACUGACUCCCAGUGCCUCUCCAGAACCUUCUAGUCUUGAACGAUUGGUACCGGGACAGCAAAAUAAUGAAGAAAUCCCAUUAAAUUCUUCUCACCGUUUAGUUCCUGGACACCAAUCUCAAGACUCACAGUUGCUACAGAGAUUUUCCAAUCACCAAGAACCACAAGGAGAAAUGCAACGUUUGGUUCCAGGACAAGUUGAGAAUGAUCCUCCAAUAGGUGUUAGGAUGAUUCCAGGUCAGUUAAGCGAUGAUGAAAACAAUGUUAACACAAAUGAUAUGGAGCGAAUGAUACCUGGUGGUUUGUCAGAACAUGAGAUCAGUUUUCCUGAGGAGAUACCAGAUGACGAGAGAAUGGUACCUGGAGGAAUGUCAGAUGACUCAAGGAGUCAGAGUUUAUCGAUGGAUGAUGAGAGGCGGAAUAGCUCUGAACGGAUGAUACCUGGGAUGACUGUGCCACCUGUCAUAAAUCCUAUCCAGUCAGAGACUCAACCUGAGAGACUUGUCACCGGUGCAGGAAUCGUGGACAGUACAGACAACUCCUUACCUGGUGGUCAAGACUUGACUCGACACAUGAUGGGACAGAGGAAUGGAACUGUUGAGUCUGCUGCACAACCACCAUUAGGUCUGCAUCGGUUAGUACUGGGACAGCUGAAUUCAGAAGCUAAUACCGAUUCAGAACACGGGACAGCUAAAACGACAGAGAGAGUGGAAGAAAGUCCAGGAGGCAAUGUUCCUCCUGGCAUGCAUAGACUUGUCGUUGGACAGUUUCGGGAGAAAGAAGUAGAUCCUGAAAAUGACAAGGAGAAGGAAACUGUAAAGAGCAAUGAUAGGGAAGACGACUCGGAUUCGGAUUAUAAAUCAGAUAGAAGAAGACAGAGACAUCGCAGAGACAGCUAUGACGAUGAAAGGAAAGAACGGGAUUAUUCAAGUGAAAGAGAGUACAGAGGGAAACGUGAUGACAGACGAGAAUACAGAAAGAAAAGAGACACCAGCUACAACAGAUCUCCUGAAUAUGGAAGUGACCAUGAAGAGUACGAGAGAAAGGAUUACAGAGAUCGGCGAGAUAGAGAUAGGCGAGACCGUCCAAGAGACCGUGAGCGUGACCGUGACCGGAGGAGGAGAAGCCCAGACUACACCUAUGACUCGUAUUACAGAGACGAUCCGAGGAAAUUACCACCCAGAGAACGAGAUAGGCGGUAUUAUGAGCCUUAUGAAGACGAUCCAUAUUAUUAUAGAGAAAAUAGAUCUCGCCCCUCGAGCAGAUCAGGUUCAGAGUACCGUCGGCACAGGGACUAUCCUCGUCAACCUUAUUAUCCUGAGCAAGGUGGGAUGGGAAACUAUAUGCACUACUAUCAAAUACAACAAUACUAUGAGAACAUGAGGAGGAAUGACCCCCAGGCAUAUGCCAUGUGGUACGAGCGAUACAUGGCAGAGAAGUUUGGCAAUGCCAGCAAUGACCGGGCAAGCGUUCACUCUGGGCGAAGUUCUGCUAAUGAUAACAGCCAUUUGCAAGAAAAGAGAAGAAGGAUACCAAUGUCCACUCCUAUCAGUUCACCUGCCACCCUAGUCAAGUCAAGAUCCUUCUCUCACAAUUGGUCCUUUACCAGUUUCCCUUCCCGUCUUGAUGAGGAAGAUAAGGAGGGUGUGAAAGCAGAAGCGGACGACACAGCAUCUCACCGUUCCACCCCUCCCCUCUACACCUCCGCCCACAUUCGAGGAAAUAUGAACACUUUGGGACAAUUAGUGGUUGUGAACCCCCACGAUCCCUUCAGCUAUGGGGAACACCAGCCAACAGUGACAGUGUGUAAAGUUGCUGGGCCCAAUGCUGCCGAUACUCCUGACACACUUGAGUUCCUACACAACCCUGGACCCUUCAUCAGUGGAGUAACUCACAAGAACACUGUUCUCCAAUAUCUGAAGAAACAGUGUAGUCAGUAUACUCACUCAUCUGAAAAACUCCUUUAUGAUUUAAUACGGCUUGUUAUAAAACUGAAUGGUGUAGUUGAUAUGACUGACGUUGCUGACUUGUUGAUGGAGAGUUACCGAAGCAGCAGCAAUGAAGAGGAAGACUUCCCGGACACAACGCCAAUUGUUGAAGGGUCACCUCCAUUGUCUCCCCAUCAAAUCACCUCUAAGUUCAGACAGCUGCUGUUGGAGGGAAACAAAACUGAAGCCCUAGAAUGGGCAAUGAAAAACAAAGACUGGGGACACGCUUUAUUUUUGGCAUCAAAAAUGGAUUCGAGAACUCACAACAAUGUGAUGCUUCGGUUUGCGAAUGGACUCCCCAACAAUGACCCCCUGCAGACAUUGUAUCAGCUGAUGUCAGGCAGGGAGCCCCAAGCAGCCACAUGUGCAGCAGAUAAGAAGUGGGGUGAUUGGCGACCUCAUCUGGCUAUGAUGCUUAGCAACCGAACUGCUAACGUAGAACUGGAUAGGAAAGCCAUUCUUACUUUAGGAGAUUCACUAGGUGCAAGAGGUAGAUUGUUUGCAUCUCACUUUUGUUAUUUAACGGCCCAACUGGAGUUUUCCAACUAUUCAGACCGGCACGCCAAACUGGUGCUAUUAGGUGCUUCUCCAGAUAGACCGUUAUCACAGUUCGCUACGUGCCGAGCUAUCAUGCUCACUCUGUGCUAUGAGUACGCCAAGCAGCUAAGCAACAAGGAAUGGUGCAUCCCGACCCUGCGGCCAUACAAAUUCCUGCUGGCCUGUCGAUUAUGGGAUCAUGGUAACCUGCAGGCUGCCCUAGCAUACCUGGAGGCUCUAGCACAGGAUAUGGUACAAUUGCCUGGGAGAGAUGAUAAGGCGCUUGCCCAGCUGGUUGUUGACAUGGCAGAUAAAUUGAAGUGUGCUGACAGCACACUCUCAUUCUCGUCUGACCCCUCAAGUGAUCCGGACUGGCUUGCCAAGCUCAAGAUCCAUGUCGAGGAAGCUAAUGAUCCAAGUUACCUUGCAAGAGGCCUAACCCAUGGGAUCUCCACAUCUACAGUGUCUGAGCUGGACACUGUAAAUGGCGUUGAACUUGUUUCUCAGCCUACAGGACAGGAUACGAGCCACCCAGCCUACCAGCAUAAUAUGCCUGGGUUUACAACUGAUCAGAGUACUGGAGGAUAUGUACAGAAUAAUUACUACAAUGCGCCACAAAACAGUUAUUACAACGCUCCCCAAGUUUUGAAUGCAAGUGAAGAAGUUCACCAAAUUCCAGGUUAUAAUGCAGAACAACAACACCUGCCACCCGAGAACUCGUCACAGGAAUACUGGACGCCCACUACUGCAGGAGGGUGGGACCAGCAGUCCACCCCCGUCCAGGAACAAGCCAUGGUUGAGCCAACCAGUUUGGACUCCCAGCCCCAGAUCUCUGUUAAACCUGGUUUUGGUUAUUUUGCAAACUCAGAAGAAAAUGUUAAACCUCAGACCCCUCCCAAACCUGAACCUAUAGAAAAACCAGUAGGGACUCAUCCCUCUGAGAAGUCUGAAAACAAAGAUAAAACCAACAGACGGACAAGUAAAACACAGCAGAGUGGGUCUGGGUGGUUUGGUGGUAUAUGGGACAAACUUGCACGGAGACCAAAUAACCAAAUGAAACUUCCUGAUGAUAAAAACCCUUCAAUCGUGUGGGAUGAAAAGAGUAAACGAUGGGUGAACACAGAUGCCUCUGAGGAGGAGCAGAGUGCACAGCUGAAACCCCCGCCUAAGGCAAGUGAGCUGAAUGGUUCUGCCAUCCCAAGUGCCCCCACACAAGCACCCACAUCCACUCCAGCCUCUGGACCUGGUAUGGCCACCUCAGGAUUGCCUCCACCCUCUACCACCUCUACUAACAUAUACAAACUGCAACGGGGCAAAGGUAUGAGAGGAAAUUACGUUGAUGUAAUGGGAUCUAACAAAAAGCCAGUUUCUACCAACACAAACCUCCCUCAGCCAUUUACUACAAUGCCACAAGCACCUGUCACAAACUUCUUCGUUCCAGCUCCAGUGCUUGGAAAUGAAAAUGCUCCUGUGGAUUUUCUGAGCCCUUCCGGUCCUGUCAGCUAUGAACCCACCUCAAACAAGUCAGACGAUCAGCCCCCACCACCUGGUGGAGACGGAGAUUCACAAUAAUCUUUGUCCCGUAGCAGCUCUGCCAGCUCCCUCUCUCGUGAAGUGACGUAUUACAUGAGCCGGCGACAGCCCAACCCGCGGAUGGGUGGAUUCGGUAAAGGAAAUACUAUGUUCUACAAUCCGACCAAAUAACAG